rnacentral:rRNA from 1 species
ACGUACAGAACCUUCCUUCGAGCGGGGAAUAGCCCAGAGAAAUUUGGACUAAUACCCCAUAGGAUAGUGGAGUGGCAUCACUCAGCUAUUAAAGAUUUAUCACUUGAAGAUGGCUGUGCGUCUGAUUAGGUAGUUGGUGGGGUAACGGCCCACCAAGCCAGCGAUCAGUAACUGGUGUGAGAGCACGACCAGUCACACGGGCACUGAGACACGGGCCCGACUCCUACGGGAGGCAGCAGUAAGGAAUAUUGGUCAAUGGACGCAAGUCUGAACCAGCCAUGCCGCGUGGAGGAUGAAGGUCCUCUGGAUUGUAAACUUCUUUUAUCUGGGACGAAAAAAGGCCUUUCUAGGUCGACUGACGGUACCAGAUGAAUAAGCACCGGCUAACUCCGUGCCAGCAGCCGCGGUAAUACGGAGGGUGCAAGCGUUAUCCGGAUUCACUGGGUUUAAAGGGUGCGUAGGCGGGCAUGUAAGUCCGUGGUGAAAUCUCCGAGCUUAACUCGGAAACUGCCAUGGAUACUAUGUGUCUUGAAUGUUGUGGAGGUGAGCGGAAUAUGUCAUGUAGCGGUGAANUGCUUANAUAUGACGUANAACACCAAUUGCGAANGCAGCUCACUACACAAAUAUUGA